CCUACGGGAGGCAGCAGUGAGGAAUAUUGGUCAAUGGACGAGAGUCUGAACCAGCCAAGUAGCGUGAAGGAUGACUGCCCUAUGGGUUGUAAACUUCUUUUAUAUGGGAAUAAAAUGUUCCACGUGUGGGAUUUUGUAUGUACCAUAUGAAUAAGGAUCGGCUAACUCCGUGCCAGCAGCCGCGGUAAUACGGAGGAUCCGAGCGUUAUCCGGAUUUAUUGGGUUUAAAGGGAGCGUAGGUGGAUUUGUAAGUCAGUUGUGAAAGUUUGCGGCUCAACCGUAAAAUUGCAGUUGAAACUGGCAGUCUUGAGUGCAGUAGAGGUGGGCGGAAUUCGUGGUGUAGCGGUGAAAUGCUUAGAUAUCACGAAGAACACCGAUUGCGAAGGCAGUUCACUGGACUGCAACUGACACUGAGGCUCGAAAGUGUGGGUAUCAAACAGGAUUAGAUACCCUUGUAGUC
rnacentral:rRNA from 1 species